AGCUACAUUUCUCUCUCAUUUUCUAAUCUGCUAGGGAGGGGGAGGGGGUAAUACAAACUCCUUUAUAAGUUUAUAGCAACAGACCAUCCAUUAAACCAAUGGCAAAAAAGGAGCAGAAGAUGCAAAAAGUUCAUUUCUUGACCUGAAACAAUGGCCCAAAAAAGGGGAAAAUUCAAUUUUUGCUACCUGGUAAGAAAACAAUAACAGAAGAUAAAAGAUUUGAUUUUUUCUAGCCCCAUCAACAGGAAAAAGAGACAAACAGAGAUAUAUACAAAGAAAUGAAAUUUCCUAAAUAGUUCACAAGUGUCACACUUAGGCUAAUCCGGUCUCGCACAUACAAAAUUAUGUUUAAUGGUUUACUUUAAACAAAAACUGUUUGUACAGACAAAUUAAGCAGCAAUGUUUUUAAUCAAAAUGUUACUUAGCUGAAAACCCGGAAAUUUUGAAAGAAAAAUCAAAUAAAUUUUCUGGGUAAAAUCUUUAUCAUGGAAGUUUCACCAAAAAAUUAGCAUGAAACCAAAUAAAUUACACUCUGCUACUUAAAGAAACAAAGUAUUCAAAAAACUCACCAUAGAUCUUCUUUCUUAUUCUCUCUCUAAACACUUGGAAAGUCUACCUGACUCUCUCUCUCUCUAGCUCAUUCCUACCCAGCGGAUACCAAAGCCUCUAUUAAAUCCUCUUCACGGGCUUUUGGUUUUAAUUAUAUAAAAAAGGUACUGUGGC
rnacentral:lncRNA from 1 species